rnacentral:lncRNA from 1 species
GUACAUUUUGUUUUAGGCUGUUACACCGAUUAGCCCCCAGCGACAGAGAACUGUGGAGAAGAGAGAGAUAGUGAAACAAAUGAGUACAGAAGAGGACAGGUACCGCAGCUCCAGAUUUGCAUUACAGGCUCAGCUAAAUAGAAAUGAGCAAUGCAUGCUUGGAGAUCGUACCUCAGAAUCAGUCACUCCCACAGACCUGCAGAAACGACUGAGAGAAUUAAAGUCUCUGUGGGACGAGACAGAGUCUCUGUGGAAGGAGUAUGAAGUGUUGUGUAUGCAAUGUGUUCAGUACAACGAACGAGCUGUUGAGCAGGACCGUAUGGAGCUCACUGUCAGGUGGAGAGAGCAGAGGUCACAGUUACAGGGCAGGUAUGACCAUGUCAGACAUGACAUUACACUGACUU